rnacentral:piRNA from 1 species
UGAGCAUCUUUGUCGGGGCAUUGUUCA